AACAAUAUAUAUAUGAAUAUAUAUAUAAUUGUGGAUACAACAUUUCGGGCAUUGCCCAACUUCAGGUAUCACUAAUUGAACAGUAAAUCCGUAAACGAAAACAUUCUGCUGGAUAUUGAGAUAUAGAUUGGAGUAGAGUGUUAGUUCAAAUAGUAAAUGAGUAUUGAAUAAGAGUUAUCGCAUUUGUUUUGUUAUUUAGUUGCUUGGUGAGUUACGUGUUUGAUUAUUCAACAAAACUAGUAGUUAAGUUAGGCGUGCGUCUCGCAGUUUAUAUUGAAGCAUAGAAUUUUAGGGCAAACCUACACUGAUUAAGUUGUGGAGUUAGCAUUCAAACGUUUGUGUAGUUAGAUCUAUAACUUGGUAGUGAACAUGGCUCUAUAAACAUAACAAACAAUAAGAAGGAAUAGACUAAUUUGCUAUUUAUACGUGGACUGGACACAUUAUAACUACUAAUAAUAUUCCAGUUGUUUUGAGGAUCUUCAUGUAUUACAAAAUGACUUGGAGUAAUUGGUAUGAUGAAGAAAUACUUGGGUUACUAACUUAUGGAAUGAGUUUGUGUCAGCAGUAGCAGAGGCCAGCAAUUUACAGGAGUUUAAGAGGGAAGUCAAUGAUUUCCUGAGAAGCAAAAACCAUGACUCACUCUUCCUCUUUGUAAUGUUGACUGGCAGUGGGAAGAUUAGAACAAUAAGAAUACGCAGAAGAGAAAAGUAAUAUUGGAGUUCAACCAGUCCUUGGAGUGCACCUGAUGUUAUAUGGGAUAAAAUAAUAAAAAAAAACAGUUUUACAUUAAAUUGUUAUUUAUUUGUACUGAAUAACCUGUACUGAAUUUUUACUAAAGUGAAAAUGCAGUAAUGGGUAAAAAAUUUCUUAGGAUUCAAAGAGAGGUAUGCUGGGGUUCAAAUAAAACAUCCCAUAUAUGGACCAUAUGAAUUAUUUUGGUUUGCAUUGAACAAAAAACAAAAACAACGUAUGUUAAUGUAAAAUAAACAAGGAAUGUUGUUUCAAAGUAUUUUAAUACUGCAUGUAAAUAAAAGUAGUUGCUGGCAUUGAUAUUGUCCAUGAACUCCAAUGGUUCAUUAAAAUAGAACAAUUUAAAAGGAAGGAACUGAGUCAGCUGUGGACCACAUUAAACAGAACAAUGUUUUGUAGUCUGCAAAAGUGGUGGCAUGCAAAAAGGUUCAGUCCUCAUUUUUACAUUUUGGUAUGCAUGCUCACUGAUGGAUCACUUAUUUGAAGCCCUAAGUAUAUUGAUUUCAAGCACAUUUUUUCAAUUUCAGUUAACAUUUGAAAAAUGCCAUUAUCAUUAUCUUAGUUAAAAAUCAUUUUAGAUUAUUUUGUAAUUUAUUGUAAAGCAGAAAUUUCAUGUAACUGGAUAACUAUUCCAAAAAUCAAAAUAUAAUGUUGAGUUUUAUUAAUACUCUUCUUUCAUUUAGUCAGUAAUUAACAGUAUUCAAAUAAAAAAGGACAUUAUGUUCAGUAAUCACCCUAAUGUUUAAGUCAGAAUACUUUUACUUUUUUUUGGAACUGGUGAUCUUGUGUACCUUAUAGCAAGAUAAAAUGAACUUGGAAAAAUAAAGACAGAUCACUUGCAAAACUUGGAAAAUUUGUGUGUUUUUCACACUAACAUUAUGUAAAAUUAUGAGAACUCAGACACACUGAAAUAAGGUGUGUAGAAAUUGGUAAUUUAAGGCAAUAGAGAGAAAAAUAAAUUAAAACUAUUAUUCUUCCCAUUAUGAAAGUGUGUAUAAAAUCAUUAUUACAUUGUUUUUGGUGAAUUUCUAAUCACUUGUGGUAAUUUAUAGAUUUUGAUGUAAUACUGAUGAGAUCAAAUUAUUCACUUUGUUAAAAUUAAUCAAUUAUGUAUAUGUUUACUCUGUGUAUUGAGCCAGAUUUGAAAUGGUGUUAAAGGUGGAACAGUCAACAGGUUCAACUCAGCAUUGGGGAAAUAGUUACUGGAGGACUCAAAGGGUGUUUUAGAACAUUACCUUCUUCUUUGCUUGUACUGGAACGUGGUUCCUCAGAAGAAAGUCCAGUAUUGUUGCUCCGAAGAUCUGAUCCAACUCCAGAAGAAGACCACAGUAAUCUAGAAUGUACAAGAAGUUUGCUGUAGAAACUCCUUUCAAGCACAAAGCUACACAAUGAGCUAUCUGUGCUGUUCUCGCUACUGGUAUCGAAAGCCGAUGCUUAGCGUUAUAAGUUUUUAGACUUACCACUGUGCCACUGGAGGAGGGGGAGAACAUUAAUUUGCACCAAAUGUGCACAGGUCCAGCGCUUAUACACCAGUUUGGAAAUGCAAUUUGAGCAAGUCCCCUGACCUCAUCUUCGAUAAGACAAACGAGUUGUGUUCUUGUUGUUACUGAAACCUGUUCUCCACUACCAAUUCGAUGGCUACGUCGUUACAACAUUUCUAUGAAACUGGUUUCAGUGUGGAUCAGUGAUAGGUUCAUCACAACAUUCCUAUGAAAACUGUUUACAUUAUGGAUCCUUGAUAAGUUCAUCACAACAUUCCCAUGAAACUGGUUUCGCUGUGGAUCAGUGAUAGGUUCAUCGAUGAUUUGUUGACUUCUCGUGUCUACUUAAAUACUGACAACUUUUCCCAAUCCUUUUGUUCCGUUUGACAACAGUGAAUAGUUAGCUGUAUCGUAAACCUUGUAGCAAAAUAAAAUCAAAGCAACCCUGAA
rnacentral:lncRNA from 1 species